rnacentral:tRNA from 1 species
GGAUAGCUCAGGGGUAGAGCAACCGUCCAAGAAACGGUCUGACGCGGGUUCGAAUCCCGCUCCA